rnacentral:siRNA from 1 species
GCUCGGGGGUCCCAGUUCCGA